UUAAAUUAAUAAGGGCGUAUGGUGGAUGCCUAGGCAUUAGAAGACGAAGAAGGACGCGACAAACAGCGAAAUUGCCUCGGGGAGUUGUAAGUAAACAUUGAUCCGGGGGUAUCCGAAUGAGGAAACUUACCAAGAAAGGUAUCCUAAAAUGAAUACAUAGUUUUAGUGAAGGAAACCCUGUGAACUGAAACAUCUUAGUAACAGGAGGAAAAGAAAGAAAAAUCGAUUGCCUUAGUAGUGGCGAGCGAAACGGCAAUAGCCCAAACCAAUCUACGGAUUGGGGUAGUAGGACACUUCGAAACGAGGAUAAGAGCUAAAGAUAGCUAAAUGAUUUGGGAAAGUCAGUCAAAGAAGGUGAAAACCCUGUAGGCGAAAUCUGAAGCACUCAGAAGUGAAUCCUGAGUACGGCGGGACACGAGAAAUCCUGUCGGAAUCAACGGGGACCAUCCCGUAAGGCUAAAUACUCUCUAAUGACCGAUAGUGAACAAGUACCGUGAGGGAAAGGUGAAAAGAACCCCGGGAGGGGAGUGAAAUAGAAUACUGAAACCAUAUGCUUACAAAAAGUUCGAGCGCGUUAAUGCGUGAGAGCGUGCCUUUUGCAGAAUGAGCCGGCGAGUUAUGGUAUUGUGCAAGGUUAAGUAGAAAAUACGGAGCCGAAGCGAAAGCGAGUCUUAAAAGGGCGAAAAAGUACAAUGCUGUAGACCCGAAACUGAGUGAUCUAGCCAUGAGCAGGUUGAAGUGUAGGUAACACUACAUGGAGGACCGAACCAGGGUACUAUGUAACGUGCUUGGAUGACUUGUGGUUAGCGGUGAAAUUCCAAUCGAACUCAGAGAUAGCUGGUUCUCCCCGAAAUAGGUUUAGGCCUAGCCUUGAAGAAUUUCCUCUGGAGGUAGAGCACUGAAUGUGGAAUGGCCGCGUCUAGCGGUACUGACUGCAAUCAACCUCCGAAUGCCAGAGUAGUUAGCUUCAGGAGUCAGUUUAUGGGUGAUAACGUCCAUAUGCGAGAGAAAAACAAUUCAGACCACCAGUUAAGGUCCCAAAAUAUAUGUUAAGUGGGAAAGGAUGUGGAGUUGCACGAACAGCUAGGAGGUUGGCUCAGAAGCAGCCAUCCUUUAAAGAGUGCGUAAUAGCUCACUAGUCGAGUGGCUCUGCGCCGAAAAUGUACCGGGGCUAAACAUAUUACCGAAACUGUGGAUUUAUGCGAUAGCAUAAGUGGUAGGGGAGCGUUCUAAGGGCGACGAAGAUAGAUCGAGAGGACUAUUGGAGCGCUUAGAAGUGAGAAUGCCGGUGUGAGUAACGUAAGGUAGGUGAGAAUCCUACCCACUGAUUGACCAAGGAUUCCAGGGUCAAGUUCGUCUACCCUGGGUAAGUCAGGACCUAAGGCGAGGCUGAGAAGCGUAGUCGAUGGACAACAGGUUUAUAUUCCUGUACUAUUUAUAGGACUGAAGGAGUGACAAAGGAAGCUAGUAAGAGCCAUUUAAUGGAUUAUGGUCUAAGCACAAAGACUGAUACAUAGGAAAAUCCGUGAUAUCGAACGGUUGAAGUGUGAUGGCGAAGCAGUCUACGGACAGCGAAGUCUUAUGAUGCUAAACUUUUUAAAAAAGCUUCUAAAGAAAUGCUAUAAAUACCUGUACUAAGAACCAACGCAGGUGGUCAAGGAGAGAAUCCUAAGGUGAGCGAGAGAACUAUGGUUAAGGAACUCGGCACAAUGAUCCCGUAACUUCGGAAUAAGGGAAGGUCUUGAAAAAGACCCGCAGUGAAUAGGCCCAAGCGACUGUUUACCAAAAACACAGGUUUCUGCAAAAGCGUAAGCUGAAGUAUAGGAGCUGACGCCUGCCCAGUGCUGGAAGGUUAAGAUGAUUUGUAAGAUGGACGAAAGUCGAUAACAUCGAAGCAAUGAAUUGAAGCCCCAGUGAACGGCGGCGAUAACUAUAAUCGUCCAAAGGUAGCGAAAUUCCUUGUCAGGUAAGUUCUGACCCGCACG
rnacentral:rRNA from 1 species